AUUGAACGCUGGCGGCAGGCCUAACACAUGCAAGUCGAGCGGAUGACGGGAGCUUGCUCCUUGAUUCAGCGGCGGACGGGUGAGUAAUGCCUAGGAAUCUGCCUGGUAGUGGGGGACAACGUUUCGAAAGGAACGCUAAUACCGCAUACGUCCUACGGGAGAAAGCAGGGGACCUUCGGGCCUUGCGCUAUCAGAUGAGCCUAGGUCGGAUUAGCUAGUUGGGGGGGUAAUGGCUCACCAAGGCGACGAUCCGUAACUGGUCUGAGAGGAUGAUCAGUAACACGGGAACUGAGACACGGUCCAGACUCCUACGGAAGGCAGCAGUGGGGAAUAUUGGACAAUGGGCGAAGGCCUGAUCCAGCCAUGCCGCGUGUGUGAAGAAGGUCUUCGGAUUGUAAAGCACUUUAAGUUGGGAGGAAGGGCAGUAAGUUAAUACCUUGCUGUUUUGACGUUACCGACAGAAUAAGCACCGGCUAACUCUGUGCCAGCCGCCGCCGUAACAC
rnacentral:rRNA from 1 species